rnacentral:rRNA from 1 species
GAUGAACGCUAGCGACAGGCUUAACACAUGCAAGUCGAGGGGCAUCGGGACGUAGCAAUACGUUGCCGGCGACCGGCGGAUGGGUGAGUAACGCGUAUGCAACCUGCCUACUACAAGGGGAUAACCCGUUGAAAGACGGACUAAUACCCUAUAACACAGGGAAUCCGCAUGGAUAUAUUUGUUAAAGAUUUAUCGGUAGUAGAUGGGCAUGCGUUCCAUUAGCUUGUUGGUGAGGUAACGGCUCACCAAGGCAACGAUGGAUAGGGGAACUGAGAGGUUGAUCCCCCACACUGGAACUGAGACACGGUCCAGACUCCUACGGGAGGCAGCAGUGAGGAAUAUUGGUCAAUGGACGAGAGUCUGAACCAGCCAAGUCGCGUGAAGGAAGACGGCCCUACGGGUUGUAAACUUCUUUUGUAAGGGAAUAAAUAGUCUUACGCGCUAAGACGUUGCAGGUACCUUACGAAUAAGGAUCGGCUAACUCCGUG